AGCUUCGUGGCGUAACGGAUAACGCAUCGGACUUCUACACCUGAAAUCCGGGGAUUGCGGGUUCGAAUCCCGUCGAGGUUA